AUCCCUUUGGUGCAAAUGGGUCAGUUCGUCUGGCUGUUAACCAGAAGGUUGGUGGUUCAAGCCCACCCAGGAACG